GCCGCUGUCCCGUGACCGCGCCGCGUUAGACGCAGUGGUUGUGAGGCGGCGGCGAGCGGGGCCUGGUGCGGGGCGCGAUGGCGGACUGGGCCCGGGGUCAGAGCCCUGGUGCUGUGGAAGACAUUCUAGACCGGGAGAACAAGCGGAUGGCUGACAGCCUGGCCUCCAAGGUCACCAGACUCAAAUCGCUGGCCCUAGACAUCGACAGGGAUGCAGAGGACCAGAGCCGGUACCUGGAUGGGAUGGUAAGGGUCCGCCGUGCGCGUGAGUCGGCCAGCUCUGCCCACACCGCCUGCCGUGGCUCCUCCUCCAGCACUGGUGUGGGUGGGUGGUCGAGGCCCCGCUCCUGUGUGAUCCUGCUGGGAUUCCUCCUUCAGGACUCGGAUUUCUCGAGCAUGACCAGCCUGCUUACAGGGAGCGUGAAGCGCUUUUCCACGAUGGCACGGUCUGGGCGAGACAACCGGAAGCUUCUGUGUGGUGUGGCCGUGGGCCUAAUCGUGGUCUUCUUCAUUCUCUCCUACUUCUUGUCAAGGACAAGGACGUGAGCCAGUGGGAGCUGGCUUCUGUGAUUGCCAAGGGUAGCCCAGGUCUUCCCCACCUGGUGUCCUGGGCUCCCAAGGACUUGGGUACAAGAUAUUCCUUUGAAAUUGCAACCGUGGGUUAGGAAUCUUCCUGUGUGGUAGGAGGCUGUGGCUGCCUCUGACCUGGUGAGCUCAUGGGGGCUGGUCCCAUGUGUCGAAAGGACCCUUUCCUUUGGGGAAACCAAGGCCCGGCCUCUACCCCCAUCCCUAGGUGCUGGAGACACCAGCAGAGCUGGGGCCACAGUGUGUCAGGAGGAGCCAGGAUUGAACAGCUAUGGAAUCCUGGGUGUGGUCACCUGUGCCCGGCAGCUCUUCUCCUACCUCUCUGAGCUCUGGCGUUUUAAGGCCCCUCUGGCGUGUCCUGUCUGAGCGAGGCCACGUCUCUGAUCCGAAGUGUCUGGAGCUGACACAGGAAGGGUCUGUAGCUGUGAACCCCAAGUGAAUGCCAUGUACUCCGACUGAGGGUCCUCGGCCUGGAGGUGGCAGUUACUCCUGGCCGGGGUUGCUGAGCACAGGCGCACCAGCAGGACUUCCCGCGGGCGUCGUCUGUGCAUGCCUUCCAGCCCCGUGGGUGAAGCCAGAGCCCUGGGAAGGACAGGGCUUGUGGAGGAAGGAGUGGAUGCUGCCUUGGCUCUGGCUACUGGGCCAGGUUCCUCCUGGGUCACGUGGCUGUGUCUCCAGGAGCAGAAACUUGAAUUCUCAGGUUUCGUGACCCACCGGGCACCACAGAUGGGUUUCCGGGAGAGCAGCCCUAGAAAUGGGCCAGUCUGGCGGAGUACGGGGUGGGGGCUUCCCUGUGAGGGCCGUCUUCGUGGGUCCCCUAGGCCACCUGCUGAGAUGUGUUGCCACGCGGUUUAGUGGUACCUUUCACCCGCCACCAGGCACGGCCAGUCUCCCUGGCUGUCAUGGAGCCCUGUGCCACCCUCCUUGUCCCCAGCUUCUGCAGACUGCCUGCCCACCCCCUCCCCCUGGGCCCUCACUGCCCACUGGUCCUGGCUGACAUCGCCGCGAACCAGACCACUGGGCUGCAGGGCAGCAGUUUUUCCCACCUCAAGUCACUGCAGGUGGCACGUCCACACCCCAGCUCCGUGUGCCCGUCUUUUCCUGGACCACGCGGGGCUGCCCGCCACGUGCUGAGAAGCUGAGCUGUGGGAGCCAGAGGAGGCCGCUCUCCUCGCACUGGGAACCAGGCACGAGGCUGCCUGUCGGGAAGUGAUUUGCCGUCUGAGCGGUUCCCUCGCCCACCCAGCUGCUUUGGGGUGUGAGUCGUGCUUCCUUCUAGUUGGCUUCUCUUUCCCUCACUGUGUCAGGGCUGACCCCUGCACCCCUCACUCUCUGGGCAAGUGGGGUUUGCUGACUUGACUUCUGACACCAGUAAAGCGCAAAGAGACCUUGGGGGCCCUGUAAGGGUCGGGGUUGCCCACUCUGCCAGGUGAGGACAAACUGCCAGCUCUAUCUCAUAAUUCAAGGGCAAGACACGCUAACAGUGAAAAGUGGAAUAAAUGCGCCUCAUGGAGAAGUGA